rnacentral:rRNA from 1 species
UACGAAGGGGGCGAGCGUUAUUCGGAAUCACUGGGCGUAAAGCGUGCGUAGGCUGUUUGGCAAGUUGGAAGUGAAAGCCCAGGGCUCAACCCUGGAAUUGCUUUCAAAACUGCCAGACUAGGAUCCGGGAGAGGAUAGCGGAAUUUCCAGUGUAGUAGUGAAAUACGUAGAUAUUGGAAGGAACACCAGUGGCGCAAGCGGCUAUCUGGACCGGCAUCGACGCUGAGGCACGAAAGCGUGGGGAUCAAACAGG